rnacentral:rRNA from 1 species
GAUGAACGCUGGCGGCGUGCCUAACACAUGCAAGUCGAGCGCGAAAAGGGCAACCUGAGUAGAGCGGCGCACGGGUGCGUAACACGUGGGUAAUCUGCCUUAGAGUCGAGGAUAACCUUCCGAAAGGUUGGCUAAUACUCGGUAAGCUUACGGUGUCUUCGGACGCUGUGGGAAAAGUAGGCCUCUGUUUACAAGCUUACGCUCUGAGAUGAGCCCGCGGCCCAUCAGCUAGUUGGCGGUGUAACGGACCACCAAGGCAACGACGGGUAGCUGGUCUGAGAGGACGAUCAGCCACACUGGAACUGAGACACGGUCCAGACUCCUACGGGAGGCAGCAGUGGGGAAUUUUCCACAAUGGGCGAAAGCCUGAUGGAGCAACGCAGCGUGUGUGAUGAAGGUUUUCGGAUCGUAAAGCACUUUCGACCGGGACGAAAAACCUCUGGCUAACAUCCAGGGGCCUGACGGUACCGGGAGAAGAAGCACCGGCUAACUCUGUGCCAGCCGCCGCGGUAA